UGGGGAAUAUUGGACAAUGGGCGAAAGCCUGAUCCAGCCAUGCCGCGUGUCUGAAGAAGGCCUUCGGGUUGUAAAGGACUUUUGUCAGGGAAGAAAAGGGCGGGGUUAAUACCCCUGUCUGAUGACGGUACCUGAAGAAUAAGCACCGGCUAACUACGUGCCAGCAGCCGCGGUAAUACGUAGGGUGCGAGCGUUAAUCGGAAUUACUGGGCGUAAAGCGGGCGCAGACGGUUACUUAAGCAGGAUGUGAAAUCCCCGGGCUCAACCUGGGAACUGCGUUCUGAACUGGGUGACUAGAGUGUGUCAGAGGGAGGUAGAAUUCCACGUGUAGCAGUGAAAUGCGUAGAGAUGUGGAGGAAUACCGAUGGCGAAGGCAGCCUCCUGGGAUAACACUGACGUUCAUGCCCGAAAGCGUGGGUAGCAAACA
rnacentral:rRNA from 1 species